rnacentral:tRNA from 1 species
GCCUUCGUGGCGUAGUUGGUUACCGCGUUGGUCUCAUAAUCCAAAGGUCAUGAGUUCGAGUCUCAUCGAGGGCA